GAGAGCAGGGCUGGCUCUGGGUCUGCACAAGGUAGAUCGUCACAUCACCCUAUUGUGGGUAAAGUGCUUGGGUAAAUUUGGACAUAGAAAAUUAACACCAUGUGAAGGUGAAGGCAGAGACUGGGUGAUGCUUCUAUAAACCAAGAAACUCCAAGGACUGUCAGCAAACCAGCAGAAGCUAGGAGAGAGGCAUGGAACGGAUUUCUCCUCACAGCCCUCAGAAGAAACCAACCCUGUCACCAUUUUGAUCUUGGACUUUAGCCUCUGGAACUGUGAGACAAUACAUUUCUGUUUGUUUCAGCCACCUAGUUCAUAGUACUUUGAAGUGACCUUUACACCACUCUCACUUAGAGAUGAGGUCUGUGUCCCCUCCUCUUGAAAUUGAGUGGCUUUUGUGACUGUGUACACAGGUAGAGUAAACUGCAGAGCUGCCUGUCUGUGACUUCCAAGGCUAGGUCAUAAAAGGAGAUAAAGCUUCUUCCUGGCUGGUUGGGCUGCUUGCUCUUGAAGCCUUCAGUCUCUAUGCACGCAGCAUGCCUUCCCAGCCUCCUGUGGUUGUAGAGUGUAUAGAAGGCAGUUGGAUCACUAUGGACAGCGGGUAAGAGCUGAGGAAGCAGCCUCCGCCAGGUGGUAACAUGGAGGACCCUGAAGCAGGCCAAUUAAAUCAAGCAUAUUCCUCAGUAUCAUGGAGAGACUGGAGGUUAGAGACACCAAAACCAUCCCUGGCUUAAUGACUUUGGGAUCCCUGGGCCCCUCCAUGCAGCAGAACGGCAAUUAACCAAGGACCCUGAUGGAUACAGAUGGCAAUAGAAAGCCUCUCUGAGGAAGUGACAUUUAAGCUAGACUUUCGGGAUGAGCGGGAGCCAGCCAUGUGAAGAACGGGGGAGGAGAGACACUCCAGGCAGGAGGAAGUCGCGUGUGAAAACUCCAAGGUGGAAAGAGCUCACUGUUGUGUUCAAGGAACAGAGAGAAGGGCAGUGUGUCUAGAGUGCAGCACUCAGGAGAGACAGCACGAGAUGAGAUUUUCUGAAUUUCAUCCCGAUCACACAGCACACAGCAGAGGAAGUGGUUGGCCUGCCCUCCGGGUCACCUCUCUCCUCAUGCUGGC
rnacentral:lncRNA from 1 species